rnacentral:misc_RNA from 1 species
GAUAAGAACGCAGCGAAAUGCGAUACGUAAUGUGAAUUGCAGAAUUCAGUGAAUCAUCGAAUCUUUGAACGCACAUUGCGCCUGCCAGCACUCUGGCAGGCAUGCCUGUUCGAGCGUCAUUUCAACCAUCAAGCCCUAGGCUUGCGUUGGAGCCCUGCGGCUGCCGCAGGCCCCUAAAAGCAGUGGCGGGCUCGCUAUCACACCGAGUGCAGUAGAUUACUCUUCGCUCAGGGCGUGUGGCGGGUUCCAGCCGUGAAACCCCCUACUUCUCAAGGUUGACCUCGGAUCAGGUAGGAAUACCCGCUGAACUUAAGCAUAUCAAUAAGCGGAGGA